rnacentral:tRNA from 1 species
CGCGGGGUGGAGAAGUGGCAUCUCACCAGGCUCAUAACCUGGGGAUCGGCGGUUCGAGUCCGCCCCCCGCUACCA